UCCUCUCCAUCUCUCUCUUCUGAUUCUCACAGUGAGGACGGUACACAGCUACAUGGGGGGGGAAAGCAAGUCAUAGGCAUACACAUAGGGAUCAAAAGUAAUUGGUCAUUUGACUCCAACGUUGUUUCAUGGACAGAUGGACAAUGACCC